rnacentral:rRNA from 1 species
AACGAACGUUAGCGGCGCGCUUAACACAUGCAAGUCGCACGAGAAAGGGCUUCGGCCCCGGUACAGUGGCGCACGGGUGAGUAACACGUGGGUAAUCUUCCCAAUGGCGGGGGAUAACCUUCCGAAAGGAGGGCUAAUACCGCAUAAGACCACGGCCUCGAAAGAGGCUGAGGUUAAAGCUGGCCUCUGUACAUAAGCUAGCACCAUUGGAUGAGCCCGCGGCCCAUCAGGUAGUUGGUAGGGUAACGGCCUACCACGCCUAAGACGGGUAGCUGGGCUGAGAGGAUGAUCAGCCACACUGGAACUGAGACACGGUCCAGACUCCUACGGGAGGCAGCAGUGGGGAACCUUGCGCAAGGGGCGAAAGCCUGACGCAGCGACGCCGCGUGGGUGAUGAAGGCCUUCGGGUUGUAAAGCCCUGUGGGGAGGGACGAAUAAGUGCAGGCUAAUACCCAGCAUGAUGACGGUACCUCCUUAGCAAGCACCGGCUAACUCUGUGCCAGCAGCCGCCGUAACAC